rfam:Ovis aries breed Texel chromosome 6, whole genome shotgun sequence.
UCCCUGGUGUCUCAGAGGUAAAGAAUCUGCCUGCAAUGCAGGAGCCACAGGUUCGAUCCCUGGGUCGGGAA